rnacentral:rRNA from 1 species
AGUGUCGUAAGGGUGCGUAACGGGUAUGCAAUCUGCCCUGUACAGGAGGAUAGCUCCCCGAAAGGGGAAUUAACCCUCCAUAAGAUCACACGAGGGCAUCUGAGAGUGAUUAAAACUGAGGUGGUACAGGAUGAGCAUGCUUCUGAUUAGCUAGUUGGUGAGGUAACGGCUCACCAAGGCGAUGAUCAGUAGGGGAACUGAGAGGUUGAUCCCCCACACUGGCACUGAGAUACGGGCCAGACUCCUACGGGAGGCAGCAGUAGGGAAUAUUGGACAAUGGGUGGAAGCCUGAUCCAGCCAUGCCGCGUGCAGGAAGACGGCCUUCUGGGUUGCAAACUGCUUUUGCCUGUGGAUAAAAAGACUCUGCGGAGUAAAUUGAAGGUAGCAGGUGAAUAAGCCACGGCUAACUACGUGCCAGCAGCCGCGGUAAUACGUAGGUGGCAAGCGUUGUCCGGAUUUAUUGGGUUUAAAGGGUGCGUAGGCGGUCUGUUAAGUCAAUGGUGAAAUACGGCAGCUCAACUGCCGAGGUGCCAUUGAUACUGGCGGACUUGAGUACUGAUGAGGUAGGCGGAAUGGACGGUGUAGCGGUGAAAUGCUUAGAUAUCGUCCAGAACACCGAUAGCGAAGGCAGCUUACUAAGGAGUAACUGACGCUGAGGCACGAAAGUGUGGAGAUCAAACAGGAUUAGAUACCCUGGUAG